rnacentral:rRNA from 1 species
AGUGAACGCUGGCGGUAGGCCUAACACAUGCAAGUCGAACGGCAGCACAGUAAGAGCUUGCUCUUACGGGUGGCGAGUGACGGACGGGUGAGGAAUACAUCGGAAUCUACUUUUUCGUGGGGGAUAACGUAGGGAAACUUACGCUAAUACCGCAUACGACCUACGGGUGAAAGCAGGGGAUCUUCGGACCUUGCGCGAUUGAAUGAGCCGAUGUCGGAUUAGCUAGUUGGCGGGGUAAAGGCCCACCAAGGCGACGAUCCGUAGCUGGUCUGAGAGGAUGAUCAGCCACACUGGAACUGAGACACGGUCCAGCCUCCUACGGGAGGCAGCAGUGGGGAAUAUUGGACAAUGGGCGCAAUCCUGCUCCAGCCAUCCCGCGUGGGUGAAGAAGGCCUUCGGGUUGUAAAGCCCUUUUGUUGGGAAAGAAAAGCAGCAGGUUAAUACCCCGCUGUUCUGACGGUACCCAAAGAAUAAGCACCGGCUAACUUCGUG